UUUUACUCUUGUCUUCGCAGCUGAAGCCACCCACUAACCCAUAACCCUCUGCAGCUUUCAGUGAAAGUCAGCGUGCAUAGGACUUCGUUCCGCUUCUGUGCACUUGCCGUGUACUAACCGGUUAGACAGUUCAGUCUUACCGACUUCGAUGAGGCACGUUUACCUCCAUAAGUGAGCGCGUUAUGAUAAUGUGAUCGUGGUCCCAGGCUACGGUCUGAAGGCAAAUGAGGCCAGCACCCUGCUGAAGCUAACCAGAGUUAGGUCUGGUCAGUGGCUGGAUGGGAGACUGCCUGGAAACCAUAUGAACACUUUCCGCAACAAUCAGCAUGAUCACUGAAUAACCAACAGAAUUACAGAGGCCCCAGCUACAUGUUAUUCUGGCAAGAAAGCCCAGUGGGAAGAGCUAGAACAAUACAUUACUCAUAUUGAGAUUCCUAUGUCACUUAUUGGAUGAGAGAGAUGGAGAAGCUACUUAGGCUAGGCUUUUCUGUGGAAGCUGUGGGCAGCUAUGGACUUCAGAAGGCUCAAUUUCUUGUUGUUCCAAGAUUAAAAGAUCUACAACAUUUAAGAAUUGCUGCUAACAAAUCUUGUUCCCCAUUACUCCAUAAUCACUUUACCAACUAUGGACUCACUGCAGCUUCAUAUCUGCAUAUGUUAACUAUCCCAAAAUACAGUAGAGCAUUUAUCCUUGCUUGCUUUAAUGUGUUGCCAUCAGCACUUUUAGAAGGAUGAUAUAGCAAGAUCCCAGUUAAUGAACCGAUAUGUCCCUGUGGUGCUGGAACAACAGAAUUUGUUGAACAUAGUCUUUUGUGUUGUGACAUGCAUAAGGAAUGCAGAAAAUAUUUUUUUCUAUUAUUAACAGCCUUUUCUGGAAGUAACUCCACAACCUUGGUACUAAAUUGUUUAAGGGAUGUGUCCUCUCAUAUCACUGAAAGGGUUUCUAAGUUUAUUAUGAUUUCAAUGCAAAUCAGGGGAAAAUGUUAUCUUCCUGAGAGAGGGAAUUUUAUAAAACUGUAUUUUGCUAUUAUGUCACUUUUUAAAGUAUCUUUUAUAUGAUUUUGCUGGUCUGUGACCAUAAUAAAUAAAUACUACUAGAAUUAGAGGGGACCCACUCACCCCUUACCAUUUUGAGAUGGCUCCCUUAGCUACAGGAGGACAAUUUGGCCAAAAUGUGGUCAGGAGAUGGGGCUGAUGGAUUUCAUAAGGACCCCUACCUCUUCCCCCCAAUGCAAGCACUGUGAGGAACCCUUUGAGCAUUACAAAGGUUUUAGGGGAGAGUUCUAGAUUACAAACUCAGUGAAAGUAUGGCACUUUGCCACACCCAUUAGACUUCACUGUUGUUUCAAAUGAGAUGAGAAUGUACCAUUAAAAAAAAACCUUACCUGAUACAUCUCUGCAGCUACACAUUGCAAGGGAACAAAUGGUAGCAAGUUGUCUUACAAGGAAUGCUGUCCCCCAAUACAUUUGUUCUCAAGGUUCCCCAGAAAAAGGAAAACAAUAAACCAAUAGACACUUGUAUUGUAUUUGUCUUUACCAUACUGUAGUUUAUAUUCCAACUAGUAAUGCAAAUCAAAGCCUUCAGGAACAGAUAUGCAACUAAGAAUGAAACAAACCAACCCACUGAGAAACCAAUCAUGUAGCAUGUGUAAAAACAAAAUGUGUUCAUCAUCAGUACUAAUUUUCCAUACUGUCGUCCAAGAAUCUGGGGAAAUAGGAUGGAUAGGCAAUUAGACAACUCAGUUCCCAACAUAAAAAAGCAGACUACUAGCCAUGGAAAGGGGACUAUAACCUCUACAAUU